UACGGAGGGUGCAAGCGUUAUCCGGAUUCACUGGGUUUAAAGGGUGCGUAGGUGGGCAGGUAAGUCAGUGGUGAAAUCUCCGGGCUUAACCCGGAAACUGCCAUUGAUACUAUCAGUCUUGAAUACCGUGGAGGUAAGCGGAAUAUGUCAUGUAGCGGUGAAAUGCUUAGAUAUGACAUAGAACACCAAUGGCGAAGGCAGCUUACUAGCCGAAUAUUGACACUGAGGCACGAAAGCGUGGGGAUCAAACAGG
rnacentral:rRNA from 1 species